rnacentral:rRNA from 1 species
UACGUAGGGAGCAAGCGUUGUCCGGAAUCACUGGGCGUAAAGGGCGCGUAGGCGGCUCGGUAAGGUUGCGGUGAAAGCCCGGGGCUCAACCCCGGGUCGGCCGUGGCAACUGCUGGGCUGGAGCACUGUAGAGGCAGGUGGAAUUCCGGGUGUAGCGGUGGAAUGCGUAGAGAUCCGGAAGAACACCGGUGGCGAAGGCGGCCUGCUGGGCAGUAGCUGACGCUGAUGCGCGACAGCGUGGGGAGCAAACAGG